GACGAACGCUGGCGGCGUGCCUAAUACAUGCAAGUAGAACGCAGUUGCGAACGGGUGAGUAACGCGUAGGUAACUGCCUCAUAGCGGGGGAUAACUAUUGGAAACGAUAGCUAAUACCGCAUACUGUGAGAUGGACCUGCGUUGUAUUAGCUAGUUGGUGGGGUAAAGGCUCACCAAGGCGACGAUACAUAGCCUGCCUGAGAGGGUGACUGGCCAACAUGGGACUGGGGCACCGGCCAGGAUCCUGCGGGGGGGCGCAGUAGGGGAUCUUCGGCAAAUGGCGGAAAUCUGGCCGAACAACGCCGCGGGAGUGGAGAAGGUUUUCGGGUCGUAAAGCUCUGUUGUUAGAGAAGCGGUAACUAACCAGAAAGCACCGGCUAACUACGUGCCAGCAGCCGCGGUAAUAC
rnacentral:rRNA from 1 species